UGGGGUGUGGCUCAGCGAUAGAGUGUUUGCCUUGCACGUGUGAGGCCUGGGUUCAAUUCUCGGCACCACAU
rnacentral:tRNA from 1 species